UCCUGGCUCAGGACGAACGCUGGCGGCGUGCCUAAUACAUGCAAGUCGAGCGAAUGACGAGAAGCUUGCUUCUCUGAUUUAGCGGCGGACGGGUGAGUAACACGUGGGCAACCUGCCCUACAGAUCGGGAUAACUCAGGGAAACCUGGGCUAAUACCGGAUAAUCCUUCGAAUCACAUGUUUUGAAGUUGAAAGGCGCUUCGGCGUCACUGUAGGAUGGGCCCGCGGUGCAUUAGCUAGUUGGUGGGGUAACGGCCUACCAAGGCAACGAUGCAUAGCCGACCUGAGAGGGUGAUCGGCCACAUUGGGACUGAGACACGGCCCAAACUCCUACGGGAGGCAGCAGUAGGGAAUCUUCCACAAUGGACGAAAGUCUGAUGGAGCAACGCCGCGUGAGUGAUGAAGGUUUUCGGAUCGUAAAACUCUGUUGUAAGGGAAGAACAAGUACGUUAGGAAAUGAACGUACCUUGACGGUACCUUAUUAGAAAGCCACGGCUAACUACGUGCCAGCAGCC
rnacentral:rRNA from 1 species